rnacentral:rRNA from 1 species
UACGAAGGGGGCUAGCGUUGUUCGGAAUCACUGGGCGUAAAGCGCAUGCAGGCGGAUCGUUAAGUCGGGGGUGAAAUCCCGAGGCUCAACCUCGGAACUGCCUUCGAUACUGGCGAUCUUGAGUCCGGGAGAGGUGAGUGGAACUGCGAGUGUAGAGGUGAAAUUCGUAGAUAUUCGCAAGAACACCAGUGGCGAAGGCGGCUCACUGGCCCGGUACUGACGCUGAGGUGCGAAAGCGUGGGGAGCAAACAGG